UACGGAGGGUGCAAGCGUUAUCCGGAUUCACUGGGUUUAAAGGGCUCGUAGGCGGCCAACUAAGUCGGAUGUGAAAUCCCCAGGCUUAACCUGGGAACUGCAUCCGAUACUGGAUGGCUUGAAUCCGGGAGAGGGAUGCAGAAUUCCAGGUGUAGCGGUGAAAUGCGUAGAUAUCUGGAGGAACACCGGUGGCGAAAGCGGUUCACUGGCCCGACACUGACACUGAGGUGCGAAAGCUAGGGUAGCAAACGGG
rnacentral:rRNA from 1 species